rnacentral:rRNA from 1 species
UACAGAGGUCCCAAGCGUUGUUCGGAUUCAUUGGGCGUAAAGGGCUCGUAGGCGGCCAACUAAGUCGGAUGUGAAAUCCCCAAGCUUAACUUGGGAACUGCAUCCGAUACUGGAUGGCUUGAAUCCGGGAGAGGGAUGCAGAAUUCCAGGUGUAGCGGUGAAAUGCGUAGAUAUCUGGAGGAAUACCGGUGGCGAAGGCGGCAUCCUGGACCGGCAUUGACGCUGAGGAGCGAAAGCUAGGGGAGCAAACGGG